GCCCGGUUAGCUCAAUCGGUAGAGUAAGUUGACACACUCACUAGAUCUUACAGACAAUUCAACUAACAAUCUAUAGGCGUGAGACUCUUAAUCUCAAGGUUGCGGGUUCGACCCCCGCAUCGGGCU